rfam:Cucumis melo, WGS project CAJI01000000 data, contig: 22216
GAAAUAAGAGCCGGUCUUGAUAGCCAAAGAGACUGCCUGCAUGGAUAUGACACAACAGGGUUUGAUGGCAGCCUUUUGUAGAUAAUCCCUUCAUGAAGUUGCAAUCUGCAGGCAAGUCAUCCUUGGCUACAAUACAUGACUCUCCAUU